rnacentral:rRNA from 1 species
AUUGAACGCUGGCGGCAUGCCUUACACAUGCAAGUCGAACGGUAACAAGUCUUCGGAUGCUGACGAGUGGCGAACGGGUGAGUAAUACAUCGGAACGUGCCUAGUAGUGGGGGAUAACUACUCGAAAGAGUGGCUAAUACCGCAUGAGAUCUACGGAUGAAAGCAGGGGAUCGCAAGACCUUGUGCUACUAGAGCGGCCGAUGGCAGAUUAGGUAGGUGGUGGGAUAAAAGCUUACCAAGCCGACGAUCUGUAGCUGGUCUGAGAGGACGAUCAGCCACACUGGGACUGAGACACGGCGCAGACUACUACGGGAGGCAGCAGUGGGGAAUUUUGGACAAUGGGCGACAGCCUGAUCCAGCAAUGCCGCGUGCAGGAUGAAGGCCUUCGGGUUGUAAACUGCUUUUGUACGGAACGAAAAGCCCCGGGUUAAUACCCUGGGGUCAUGACGGUACCGUAAGAAUAAGCACCGGCUAACUACGUGCCAGCCGCCGCAGUAA